GAACGAACGCUGGCAGCGUGGAUUAGGCAUGCAAGUCGGACGGGAUCAGCCGGUUAGCAAUAAUUGGCUGUGAGAGUGGCGGAUUGGGGAGGAGCACGUGAGCAACCUGCCCUGGAGAUGUGGAAAACCUCUGGAAACGGAGGCUAAUACAGAAUGUGGCGCCCGAUGGCAUCAUCGGAGCGCCGAAGGGGGCCGCAAGGCUCCCGCUCCGGGAUGGGCUCGCGCACCAUCAGCUAGUUGGCGGGGUAACGGCCCACCAAGGCCUACGGUUAGCUGGUCUGAGAGGAUGACCAGCCCCACUGGGACUGAGAUACUGCCCAGACUCCUACGGGAGGCUGCAGUCGAGGAUCAUUCGCAAUGGGCGAAAGCCUGACGAUGCGACGCUGCGUGGAGGAUGAAGGCCUUCGGGUCGUAAACUCCUGUCAUGGGGGAAGAGGCGAGGGGAGCUAACACCUUCCUUAGUUGACUGUACCCCAAGAGGAAGCGACGGCUAACUCUGUGCCAGCCGCCGC
rnacentral:rRNA from 1 species